rnacentral:lncRNA from 10 species
GCAUUUGCCUUUACUGUGGAGUUUUGUUGCCGGUUCUGCUCCCUAAUCUUCCUUUUCUGACGUGCCUGAGCAUGUCCACAUUAGAAUCUGUGACAUACCUACCUGAAAAAGGUUUAUAUUGUCAGAGACUGCCAAGCAGCCGGACACACGGGGGCACAGAAUCACUGAAGGGGAAAAAUACAGAAAAUAUGGGUUUCUACGGCACAUUAAAAAUGAUUUUUUACAAAAUGAAAAGAAAGUUGGACCAUGGUUCUGAGGUCCGCUCUUUUUCUUUGGGAAAGAAACCAUGCAAAGUCUCAGAAUAUACAAGUACCACUGGGCUUGUACCAUGUUCAGCAACACCAACAACUUUUGGGGACCUCAGAGCAGCCAAUGGCCAAGGGCAACAACGACGCCGAAUUACAUCUGUCCAGCCACCUACAGGCCUCCAGGAAUGGCUAAAAAUGUUUCAGGUGACAUAUCUAAACAUAGUACUUGAAAUGCCUCACUUAAUUGCUGCAAAAUAAGGGAUUAUUCAUCCGUAAAAAAAGAAGGAAACACUGUUACAUAGUAUACUGUGGAUGAAUUUUG